GCUUACGGCCAUACCAGCCUGAAUACGCCCGAUCUCGUCCGAUCUCGGAAGCUAAGCAGGGUCGGGCCUGGUUAGUACUUGGAUGGGAGACCGCCUGGGAAUACCAGGUGCUGUAAGUG
rnacentral:rRNA from 1 species